AGAAAUAGUGAUACAUGGUGAAAAGUAAGACUGGAGACUUCCACAUGAUGAAGAUCACUACUAAAUAGUAGUGUAGAAGAUUCGAAUUAGCAACAUGGUUUAGGAAUGGAAGAAACAUUUAUCUAGAAGUACCAAUGGUAGAGAGAUCAUAGUCAAACAGAUGAAGACUGGAUAGGAUGACAAUGUUGGAUAUACAGUUCAUUUUAUUUAGAAAUAUUUUUUGAAGCCCAAGGCAAGGCAGAGCAGGAAGAAAGGCAGUUUUCUAGCACGUGUGGCUUGUAAGGACAUAGAACCCAUUUAGUCUUCCUGGAAAUUUUGAUUUGAGACAUUCCCCUCAUUUUUCCUUCUAGGCUCCUAGAGAAGAUCCAUGAAGAACACUCAGAAUCUUCUGCUGAACUGCUGUGUCCGGAAUUGGUGGCUUCUUGAUCUCACUGACUUCAUGAAUGAAGCCGCGGACCCUCAUGGCAAAUAUAUAGGACAAUGCAAAAGCCAGAAACACAUUCCUUGACUUCAAACUGAAAAUAAGAAUACAGUCUUCUUUCAUCAGCAUUUUUGCACAACUAUGGAUUUUUAUAGGGUGGCUCUCAAAGUAUCUGCACUUCAAACAUUGUCUAUCAUUCUUUCAUCACUGGGAAAUCAUUUCAAAUAUUACAUGUAUCAAAAAUAAAAUCAGAUCAAAUUACAAAAAAAAUUAAAGUUUAUUGUGCAUACAAAAUAACAGUUCAUGACUUGGGAGACCACAAACUAAGAGUGGUAAGAAGUCGCCUUACAACAGUUACAACACAGUCUAUAAGCUCAAAGGAG
rnacentral:lncRNA from 1 species